GGAUAUAGCUCAGUUGGUAGAGUGUUUUCCUUGUAUGCACAAGACCCUAGGUUCAAUCCCCAGCACCA
rnacentral:tRNA from 1 species